rnacentral:misc_RNA from 1 species
GAUGAAGAACGUAGCGAAAUGCGAUACGUAAUGUGAAUUGCAGAAUUCAGUGAAUCAUCGAAUCUUUGAACGCAUAUUGCGCCUUCUGGUAUUCCGGAGGGCAUGCUUGUUUGAGUAUCAGUAACAACCUCAACUCUUCUUCAUUGCGGAGAAAGAGUUGGAUUUGAGCAUUUCCACAAGUUCGUCUUGGAGGAUUGCUUGAAAUAUGAGGUUCGGCCGGCAGUUGCCUGGGCUACAAGCAUUUCAUACUUAAUCCCGUCAAACGGAUUAUAUCCUUUGCUGCAGCCAACAUACAGGGUAACUUUGCCAGUGUUCCGACUGAUGCAGGAAAGUUGAGAACAGCUUUUUGCUUUCUCUUCUAAACUCGAUCUCAAAUCAAGUAAGACUACCCGCUGAACUUAAGCAUAUCAAUAAGCGGAGGA